CGCGUAGGCGGUCUUUUAAGUCAGGUGUGAAAGCCCGGGGCUCAACCCCGGAAGUGCACUUGAAACUAAGAGACUUGAGUAUGGGAGAGGGAGGUGGAAUUCCUGGUGUAGCGGUGAAAUGCGUAGAUAUCAGGAGGAACAUCGGUGGCGAAGGCGACUUCCUGGACCAAUACUGACGCUGAGGCGCGAAGGCGUGGGGAGCAAACAGGAUUAGAUACCCUGGUAGUCC
rnacentral:rRNA from 1 species